CACGUAGGGCGCAAGCGUUGUCCGGAAUUAUUGGGCGUAAAGAGCUCGUAGGUGGUUUGUUACGUCUGCUGUGAAAAUCUAGGGCUUAACCCUGGGCUUGCAGUGGAUACGGGCAGACUAGAGGUAGGUAGGGGAGAAUGGAAUUCCUGGUGUAGCGGUGAAAUGCGCAGAUAUCAGGAGGAACACCGGUGGCGAAGGCGGUUCUCUGGGCCUUACCUGACACUGAGGAGCGAAAGCGUGGGGAGCGAAUAGG
rnacentral:rRNA from 1 species